rnacentral:lncRNA from 1 species
GGAUGGGAAUUUGCUACAUCUGCAAUGAAGCAUCUUUCCAGGGCUCGGAAUGUCAACUUUGAAUGGCACCACUGGUAGUAGGAAAAGAGAAGUUUUUGCAGACGAAUCUUCAAGGGAUUUCAAUCUAACUCAGUGAUUCAGGGAUAUACAAUUACACAGUGAAUUGUAUCAAUGCUAAAUCCAUCCAGAAUCAACUGAACCAAAGACAGAGAACUGUGGAGGUUUAAGGAUAUAAUUAUCGAGUUA